rnacentral:misc_RNA from 1 species
GAUGAAGAACGCAGCGAAAUGCGAUGAGUAAUGUGAAUUGCAGAAUUCAGUGAAUCAUCGAAUCUUUGAACGCACAUUGCGCCCCUCGGUAUUCCGAGGGGCAUGCCUGUUCGAGCGUCAUUAUAACCCUUCAAGCUCAGCUUGGUGUUGGGGCCUGCUGUAACUGGUAGCCCUUAAAAUCAGUGGCAGUGCUAUUAGGCUCUAAGCGUAGUAAUUCUUCUCGCUAUAGUGUGUAGUGAGCGCUUGCCAGAACCCCAAACUUUUAUAUGAUUGACCUCGGAUCAGGUAGGGAUACCCGCUGAACUUAAGCAUAUCAAUAAGCGGAGGA